AGAUUUCAAUAAGUUGAUAUGGCAGCAGCUGUAGAAAUGGGGGAAGUAGAUGAUAUUCACUCCAAAGAAGAAUCAAAAGGAGACAUUCUUGUCAAUGGUAACAUAAAAGAAAAACAUGCAAAAGAAGAUUUAACAAUGGAGACUGACGACGCAAAAGAAGUAAAUGAUAAUAUUAAA